rnacentral:rRNA from 1 species
UACGUAGGGUGCAAGCGUUAAUCGGAAUUACUGGGCGUAAAGCGUGCGCAGGCGGUUUUGUAAGUCUGUCGUGAAAGCCCCGGGCUCAACCUGGGAAUUGCGAUGGAGACUGCAAGGCUUGAAUCUGGCAGAGGGGGUAGAAUUCCACGUGUAGCAGUGAAAUGCGUAGAGAUGUGGAGGAACACCGAUGGCGAAGGCAGCCCCCUGGGUCAAGAUUGACGCUCGAUGCACGAAAGCGUGGGGAGCAAACAGG